ACAACCAGUAAAAGAUUAAACAAGCCCAGUUAUGGAGCAGGUCCAGGAUGACGGGAUGAUCCGUGCCACGACUCUGACAGAGCCACUACCGCCAGCGGCCAGACAGGAGCUCGCUCACCUCGUGCUCGCUCCUCACGCUGACAGUCACCCCACCACCAUGCAACAGUGCUUUCCGGUGAACAUGUAGCAGAUAGUGAAACCAGCAUCAAAAUUACAGGAGUCCAGUCACAGGAACCAAAUCUGGGAAAUGGCUACAUUUCACCAGCUAAAGGUAAAGCUGUGGUUUAACUAAUUGGAGGGCAGGUAAUAUUUCUUUAUGUUGCUUUUUUGUUCUAAUUGUCAUGUUAUGGUGGUGGCAGCAGUUCACAGAAGGACUAAGCUUGUGAUGUCUUUCAACAUAAAUGUGGAAAUGUCCAAGUGUUUGGCACAUGUUCUCCCUGUCCACAAAUUCUCAGAGGUAGGAGAGGUGCCUGGGAAGCAAGAGAAUGGCAGUGAGGGAAGGGGAUUAUCAUCAUCAGCUCCAAGCACUGACAUGAAAGAGCAGCUUCACCUGCAUGAUUGCAUGAAAAGGACUGAGAAGCAACUAUCUUGAGUAAGCAAUGCAACUAAGCAGUGAAAUGAAGGCAAGAGACCUUCUUGGGCUGCAGUUUCAUGGAAAGGGUGCCAACAAAUAUUAAUUUGAAACCAAAUACUUACUUCAUUUUAGUCCACUGUUGCCUUUGAACAACCGUGCACUUGCCAUUGAAUACAAAAUAAGAAAUCCCAACCUCAUCCUGUUCCUUGGGUGCUAUUCCCUCCUUGUGCCAGUGCAUUUUCCCAGCCAUACAGUGGAACCAGAUUGGGAAAAUGACCCAGCUCAGAUGCUAACAUGACAAAAAGCAGUUUCAGACAAACUGAACUCCCCAUCAAGUUCACACACGGCUGUAUGAAUGCUGGGAUUAGACAAAGGAGGAGGCAGGAAGGAAGUGCAGUGGGGCAUUUGGGGCACAUUACAAAGUUACAAAAUUAUGAGCACUUCUGGAUAUAGUUCCACUUUCUCUGACCCAGGUCUGUUCACAAAAUGGAGAAAAACAUGGGGCUAAUAGAAACGCAGUGGGCUCCUGCUAAGACUAAUUUACUUAUCCCUGUAUCUACAUUUCCAGAAAACAGGGGAAUCCUAGAUUACAAUAAUCCUGAACUCAUCAAUAUUUUAAUUAUUCCUUACAUACUUACAAUCUAAGAUACUUCAAGGAAUUUAUUUAUUUAUAGGAAAGCUUACUAUUAACUACUCUGAGACUUGCAAAAACACCUCUUCAGAUCCUUAGGGACACGACACAAAAGGAGAUUUCUGCCACCGGUUUAGCUGAGAGAGUAAUCAGGCAGUUGUAACAGCUAACAAGCUUUGCCUUUCACUGCUUAAUAGAAGGAACUGCUGCAGAAAUACAAAAUAGUGAAGUCACUAGCCUGAACAGAAUGGUAGCAGGAGGAAAAAAAUCAUUACAAAUUUUCUGAAUGUACACAAAAGCACCUUGAUUUCUCACAGAAAUGGGGAAGGCACUGGGAAGAGCCCCAGAAGGCAGCAGCGGAAACUGGAAACU